CUAAACAAGUAUUAGGUGAUGUGA
rnacentral:siRNA from 1 species